rnacentral:lncRNA from 1 species
GCAGCUCAUACGGCUGAAGAUAUGAUUGAAUCUCACAUCGCCAAUCAAAUCCUUCCACUUUCGGCUGAUGACACGGAAUCAACUUUCAGUUUCUGGCUUUAUCUACAGGAAAGAGGGCAAUUGAAGGGGGAAAUGCAACUGCAGUUGGAGAUGUGGAUCAAUUUCAUGGUGAAUCAAACCAAGCAAUUGAGGAGCAUGUGGCUGGAGAUGGAUGCUUGGACUAUCUGCGGCAGAUAAUUGAAGAGAUGGAUGCUAUCAUCGAAAAGGCCAAUGAGUUGAAGGACAAACAGAGAUUCAGAGAGGAGCAUUCAACACCUCCUCUUAGUCUUACUCAGACCAGAGAAGAAACUGCUAUGGUGGGAUUUCGUGAUGAGUUGAUUCAACUUCUCGACCAGCUCACCGGUCAUCGAUCCAAUCUGCAUAUCAUCUCAAUCGUCGGUAUGGGCGGCAUGGGUAAGACUACUCUUGCCAAAAAUAUUUAUGCUAAUCAACUCAUCAUCGAACACUUUGAUAUUCGUGCUUGGGCUACCGUAUCUCAGCAAUACAAUGCUAAACAAAUUCUUCAACAACUUCUUUCUAGCCAAGGAAAAUCCUCCGAUAAAAGUGUAGAUGAAUUAGGAGAACAAUUGUAUAAAACUUUAUCUGGUAGGAGAUAUUUGAUCAUAUUAGACGACAUAUGGAGUGUCGAAGCUUGGGAUGAAGUGAGGUGUUUCUUUCCCGAUAAUGGAAGUGGAAGCCGGAUUCUUCUAACUACUAGGUUGUCAGAUGUGGCUAACGGUUGUGGAUCUUCUUGCUUUCGGAAGAAUCUUCUAGAUAAGAGUGAAAGUUGGGAAUUGUUCUGUAAGAAGGCUUUCCAAAAUGAAGAUUGCCCUAGUGAACUUGAGGAAGUUGGAAGGAAGAUUGUUAAAUUAUGCAAAGGACUAGCAUUGUCCAUUGUUGUGAUUGGUGGGAGUCUUCUAAAGUCUCCUAGGACUGUAGGAUAUUGGAAGAGUGUUGCCAAAGAUAUAGAAUCAAGUCCCAAUUCAAAAGAGAAAGAAGAAAGCUUAGAUGUAUUGUUUUCAAGUUAUAACCACUUGCCUCCUCAUCUAAAGCCUUGCUUUCUUCAUAUUGGAGUUCUUAAAAGUAUUAAUUAUGAGAACCUCAAUAUCUCGAGAAUCAUCCAACUUUGGGUUGCUGAGGGAUUUUUGAAAUCAAAUGGAGGGCGAGUUUUGGAAGAGAUUGCAGAGGAUUACUUGAAGGAACUUAUUGAUAGAAAUCUGAUAUUAGUUGGGAAGCGAAGUAGAAAUGGGAAGAUGAAAAGUUGUGAUAUUCAUGAUCUUUUAAGAGACCUAUGCUUAAAAGUAGCUGAGCAACAAGGGUUUUUUCAUGUGAUCAGUCGAGGCCCUAUACAAGGCACAGAACGCCGCCUGGUAUAUAAUAAGGCUCCUUGGUGGAGGGAAAAUGCUAGACCCUUACUUGCACGCUCUAUUGUGGGAUAUGUGUUUCACAAGGAAGACUCUUAUAAACAUAGAUUGCUGAGAAUUUUGGAUGCCGUACAAGCAGUUGAAGAAUAUAAAUGGGUGUGUUAAUUCGCUACUUGCCGUCGUCCUGGUAGCCGGAAAUGGUUGGUGCUUCCUAGUUCAUCAUUAUCCUUGGAUGGAAUUGCAUGCUUUAAUCUUUCAGAAUCUCAGUGCUCAGUUGUGCACCAUUGAAAUUUGGAAGAUGCACAACUUAGGCAUAUCCAGUGUGGUGUCGGAUUUUAUUUCUCACCCGAGGACAAUUGCAAGAUGAUUGUAAUCUUGGAAAAUCUUCAGACGCUUGGGAAGCAGUGAAUUUGAGGUUGAGUGAGGAUGUGUGCAAAUCAUUCCAACAUCAAGAUAUUGCAUCUUAAUUAAUAUGUUGCAAGGUGAUGUAGUUUGAGGUGUUUGUGUAAUCUUGAUCGUUGCUAACUUAAUCACUCAAACUGAGCGAAUUAGGUGGGGAACAUGUAUUUAAGCUGAAUGAGAUACUCCAUUUCCGAGAUGCUAAACAAGUUGAGCUUGAGCAACAUCGGUUUUGAAUGGGAUGAUCUGAGAAUGAUUGGUUCGUUGCCCCUACUCGAAGUUCUCCAGGUACGACGUAACUGUGUCACUGGGAAAAAUAGGACAACGUGGAGUCCUGUUGACGGGCAGUUUCAACGCCUCAAGUUCUUGAAAAUUGAUUGGGGUAAUCUGACAUGUUGGAAUGCAGAUAGUUGUCAUUUCCCGAUUCUGGAGAAGCUUCUUCUUGUUGACGUAUUUGAGUUGGAAGAGAUCCCAUGGGGUAUCGGUGAGAUACCAACACUCAAACUUGUUCAUCUGCAUCUCUGUAGUAACUCUGCUGCGAUUUCAGCUAUUAAAAUAAAAGAUGAGCAGCUCGAGUAUCAGGAAAAUGAUGACCUUCAAAUCCAAAUUCGCGUCGACAAUUAUAACCUGAAGAGAUUCAUGGCAAUGGUGGAAACAGAGGGCUUGACACUCGAUAAUGUUCAAUUCAAGUUAAUUUGAUUGAACUUCUUUGUUUUGUUUGGUAGUUGGUACACAUCUUGUGAUUGUGAGGAAAAAUGUUAAUCCUAUCAUGAUUUGUUUGCGUGGUGCCAUCCAAAACUACAAAUUGUUGUUGCAGAACAUUUUUUAUCAGAGUUUUCACAUCAAAGAAACAACAAACAUAGUCUUGUCAGACUAUAACUAAAUGGUUUGAUUGAUCAUUCUUUCAUUUUGUUAGUUAGCUGCCAGCUCAGCAUUUAGUUAGGGAGUUAAAAAGAUUAGUUAGGUGUUAUAACAGAAGCUUAGCUUCGUUUAUAUAUUUCUGUAAUCAUCUCUUGUAAAUCAGUUUCGUUCUAAUGAAAACACAGAAAAUCUCUCUCACUCUCUCUUACUAGCUUCAAUAAAAGUGAAGCACAUGCCCCUUUAUUCAUUUCUGUUAAGAUGCAGAAUAACUGUCUCGAAUUAAUCAUUUAAAUUAAUAGUUUUUUAUAUUUCAAAUCAUGUACUGAUAGGCAAUUUAUCUUCCGAGUCAUACUAGCUAACUUUACUACUCAAAGAAGCCAUCCAAUCGUCGACCCCUCAAAUAAUUAACGUGACACAAUCUUUUGUAUGACUUACACCCCUUUACUUGUUAGAGUAAAGGGGAAUAAUAUUCAGAUAUCAAAACUAAAGAAUGAUAAUUCGCAAAACAAAGAAAAAUCCAAACGAGAGAGGAACUCUCGCUCUUCUAGAGCAGCUUGUGCUAGACCAAAAUCAAAUCCUAGACAACCUCUCUUGUAAGGAGAGAAGCUCUAUUUAUACUACUAAGGGCAUGGCUGGCAUGCAGGAAUGGAAUGUUGAUUCCUGUGUUCAUCCUCAAUCCUAUAGCUGGUAUGGUCUUUGUGAUGGGAAUCGUCAUUCCUAGUAGAAUACCUCCCAUGCAUAUGGGAUUAGCCAUUCCUCCCUUCCCCCAUUGUAUUGCUUAUUCCACUUCUUUCGUUAACUAUCAGAUCUAAUCCCUUGAGGAGAAGGCUGCUUUGUUGCUCCAUUUCAUAGAGACCUAUAAUUAUGGCUGAUUUAGUGAAGAAGCACAACAUCUCGAAAGCCUAAUCGCAUCUGCUGCUCAUACAGCUGAAGAUAUGAUUGAAUCUCACAUUGUCAAUCAAAUAUUAAUCCUUCCACUUUCGGCUGAUGACACGGAAUCGACUUUCAGUUUUAGGCUCUAUCUACAGAAUAAAAGGGCAAUUGAAAAGAAAAUUACACCUGUAGCUGGAGAUGGAUGCUGGAUCGAUUUCAUGCAGCUCAUUAAGAAUCAAUUGGAGAGAAAAAAGGGGCAAUUGAAGAGAAAGAAGCACCAAGCAAACCACAGUUGCUAUCAUCCAAAAGGCCAAUGAGUUGAAGGAAAAACACAGAUUCACAGAGGAGCAUUCAACACCUCCUCUUACUCUUACACAGACAAGAGAAGAAACUGCUAUGGUGGGAUUU